CCAAAAAGACUAGGAUGGGAACACAUGUUGCAUUUUAUUCUGAUGAAGAAUUGGGAAUAAGGGCAUUCAGGAUAGAGAUGUGGCAGCAUUGAUAUAAUACCGGAAAACAAUGCUGAUGUUGAGCAUUCAGAAAUCAGAGGAACCAAGAUUAUUCGAAGAUCAACAUAAGUACGAGCACAAGCAAAUUCAGGAAUUGAAUAGGAUAAUAGAAAACUUCAAAGCAAGCGCUGAUUGCUGAUGAAGUCAUUGUAAACCAGCAUAAAAAAUUUGGGACAGGGAGCACAAGUCGUGUUAUGCAUCUUGAUGAAGAAUCAAAAACUAAGGGAUGAAAGGAAACGAAUGAAUCAAAAUUCAUGGAAUAAAGAACAGUGAUGAAGAAGACCGCAAAUCAAAGACUGGAAGGUUCUCAAAGUCAUAAAGAUUCCAAACUGAGGACAUUGUGUAAUGGGGUUGAUAAACAAUCAGCGACCUGAGACAUUCCAAAACAUGGUGCAUCAAGGACUAAAAAACAAGUAGCGCAUUGAUAAAUAUUUAGUGACAUUUAGGAUUUUUCAAAAAUGUACAUGCACAUCAGAUUUGUACUAAAUGUACAUGCACAUCAGUUUUUUAUUACAAAAAUGCCAAUUAAUCUGUA